CAGAUUGCAGGCUGCAACCCGCCUGCAUGAAGUCGGAGUUGCUAGUAAUCNCGGAUCAGCAUGCCGCGGUGAAUACGUUCCCGGGCCUUGUACACACCGCCCGUCACACCAUGGGAGCCGGUAAUACCCGAAGUCAGUAGUCCAACCUCGUGAGGACGCUGCCGAAGGUAGGAUUGGCGACUGGGGUGAAGUCGUAACAAGGUACC
rnacentral:rRNA from 1 species